AAGGCUUUAAGUUAAAAAAACUAAUAGCCUUCAAAGCUAUAAAUAUGGAUAUUCCCUUAAGCCUUA
rnacentral:tRNA from 1 species